UACAGAGGGUGCGAGCGUUAAUCGGAAUUACUGGGCGUAAAGCGAGCGUAGUCGGUUAUUUAAGUCGGAUGUGAAAUCCCCGGGCUCAACCUGGGAAUUGCAUUCGAUACUGGAUAGCUAGAGUUCGGCAGAGGGAAGCGGAAUUUCGGGUGUAGCGGUGAAAUGCGUAGAUAUCCGAAGGAACAUCAGUGGCGAAAGCGGCUUCCUGGACCAGAACUGACGAUCAGGCUCGAAAGCGUGGGGAGCAAACAGG
rnacentral:rRNA from 1 species